rnacentral:rRNA from 1 species
GAUGAACGCUGGCGGCGUGCCUAAUACAUGCAAGUCGAGCGAACAGGCGAGGAGCUUGCUCCUCUGACGUUAGCGGCGGACGGGUGAGUAACACGUGGAUAACCUACCUAUAAGACUGGGAUAACUUCGGGAAACCGGAGCUAAUACCGGAUAAUAUAUUGAACCGCAUGGUUCAAUAGUGAAAGACGGUUUUGCUGUCACUUAUAGAUGGAUCCGCGCCGCAUUAGCUAGUUGGUAAGGUAACGGCUUACCAAGGCAACGAUGCGUAGCCGACCUGAGAGGAUGAUCGGCCACACUGGAACUGAGACACGGUCCAGACUCCUACGGGAGGCAGCAGUAGGGAAUCUUCCGCAAUGGGCGAAAGCCUGACGGAGCAACGCCGCGUGAGUGAUGAAGGUCUUCGGAUCGUAAAACUCUGUUAUUAGGGAAGAACAAAUGUGUAAGUAACUAUGCACGUCUUGACGGUACCUAAUCAGAAAGCCACGGCUAACUACGUG